rfam:Caenorhabditis japonica strain DF5081 Contig15026.1, whole genome shotgun sequence.
GGAGCUAAUACAUGCGACUAUACUCCCAACGCAAGGGCGGGGUGCAAUUAUUAGAACAGACCAAACGUUUUCGGACGUUGUUUGUUGACUCUGAAUACCGUCGUUUACUGUCAGUUUCGCUGACUCUAUCCGAGAAAGGGUGUCUGCCCUUUCAACUAGAUGGUAAUCUAUUGGACUACCAUGGUUGUUACGGGUAACGGAGAAUUAGGGUUCGACUCCGGAGAGGGAGCCUUAGAAACGGCUACCACGUCCAAGGAAGGCAGCAGGCGCGAAACUUAUCCACUGUUGAGUAUGAGAUAGUGACUAAAAAUAUAAAGACUCAUCCUUUUGGAUGAGUUAUUUCAAUGAGUUGAAUAUAAAUUAUUCUUCGAGUAGCAAGGAGAGGGCAAGUCUGGUGCCAGCAGCCGCGGUAAUUCCAGCUCUCCUAGUGUAUCUCGUUAUUGCUGCGGUUAAAAAGCUCGUAGUUGGAUCUAGGUUACGUGCCGCAGUUCGCAAUUUGCGUUAACUGUGGUCGUGACUUCUAAUUUGCUGGUUUGAGGUUGGGUUCGCCCUUCAACUGCCAGCAGGUUUACCUUGAAUAAAUCAGAGUGCUCAAUACAGGCGCUUGCUUGAAUAGCUCAUCAUGGAAUAAUGAAACAGGACUUCGGUUCUUUUUGUUGGUUCUAGAAUUGAUCUAAUGGUUAAGAGGGACAAACCGGGGGCAUUCGUAUCAUUACGCGAGAGGUGAAAUUCGUGGACCGUAGUGAGACGCCCAAUAGCGAAAGCAUUUGCCAAGAAUGUCUUCAUUAAUCAAGAACGAAAGUCAGAGGUUCGAAGGCGAUUAGAUACCGCCCUAGUUCUGACCGUAAACGAUGCCAUCUCGCGAUUCGGAGGGUUCAUGCCCUACCGAGGAGCUACCCGGAAACGAAAGUCUUUCGGUUCCGGGGGUAGUAUGGUUGCAAAGCUGAAACUUAAAGAAAUUGACGGAAGGGCACCACAAGGCGUGGAGCUUGCGGCUUAAUUUGACUCAACACGGGAAAACUCACCCGGUCCGGACACUAUUAGGACUGACAGAUUGAAAGCUCUUUCUCGAUUUGGUGGUGG